UACGAAGGGGGCUAGCGUUGCUCGGAAUCACUGGGCGUAAAGGGUGCGUAGGCGGGUUUUUAAGUCAGGGGUGAAAUCCUGGAGCUCAACUCCAGAACUGCCUUUGAUACUGAAGAUCUUGAGUCCGGGAGAGGUGAGUGGAACUGCGAGUGUAGAGGUGAAAUUCGUAGAUAUUCGCAAGAACACCAGUGGCGAAGGCAGCUCUCUGGGACGGUACUGACGCUGAGACGCGAAAGCGUGGGGAGCGAACAGG
rnacentral:rRNA from 1 species